GUAGCACUCACAUUGGUAGCCAUGAAGUCCUUUGAAAGGCUGGUAGUGGCUGACAUCAAGCAAUCAUGCCGGAAACCCUAGACCCACUCCAAUUGGCAUACUGGCCCAACAGAUCCACAGAUGAUGCAAUCUCUAUUGCGCUCCACACUACCCUCUCACCUGGACAAAAGGAUCCCCUCUGUGAGAAUGCUGCUCAUUGACUACAACUCAGCAUUCAACAGCAUAGUGCCAACAAAGCUGAUCACUAAGCAAAGGACCCUGGUACUAAACACCUCCCUCUGGAACUGGAUUCUGGACUUCCUGACGGGCUGCCCCCAGCUGGUAAGGAUAGUUAACACAUCCGGCACGCUUAUCCUCAACACGGGGGCCCCUCAAGGGUGCGUGCUCAGUCCCCUCCUGUACUCUGUUCACUCAAUUCUGCACAGCCAGGCACGAAUCCAACACCAUUAUGUUUGCUGAUGACAACAGUGGUAGGCCUGAUCACCGGCAACAAUGAGACAGCCUAUAGAGAGGAGGUCAGAGACCUGACCGUGUGGGGCGAAGACAAAAACCUCUCCCUCAACGUGACCAACACAAAGGAGGUGAUUGUUGUCUACAGGAAAAGGAUGACCGAACAUGCCCCCAUUCUCAUCAAUGGGGCUGUAGUGGAGCAGGUUGAGAGCUUCAAGUUCCUUGGUGUCCACAUCGCCAACAAACGAACAUGGUCCAAGCACACCAAGACAGUUGUGAAGAGGGUGCGACAAAACAUAUUCCCACUCAGGAGACAGAAAAGAUUUGGAAUGGAUACUCAGAUCCUCAAAAGGAUUUACAGCUGUACCGUCGAGAGCAUCCUGACAGGUUGCAUCACCUCCUGGACCUGAGCCCUGGGACCACGUCUCAGGACUACCUGGCCUGAUCACUCCUUGCUGUCCCCAGUCCACCUGGUCAUGCUGCUGCUCCAGUUUCAACUGUUCUGCCUGCGGCUACGGAACCCUGACCUGUUCACCGGACGUGCUACCUUGUCCCAGACCUGACAUUUACUCCUGAGAUGCUGACCUGUUGCACCCUCUUCAACCACUGUGAUUAUUAUUAUUUGAGCCUGCUGGUCAUCUUGCCCAUGUUCUGUUAUAAUCUCCACCCGGCACAGCCAGAAGAGGACUGGAUACCCCUCAGAGCCUGGUUCCUCUCUAGGUUUCUUUCUAGGUUCCUGCCUUUCUAGGGAGUUUUUCCUAGCCACCGUGCAUCUGUAUUGCUUGCUGUUUGGGGUUUUAGGCUGGGUUUCUGUACAGCACUUUGUGACAUCGGCUGAUGUUGAAAGGGCUUAAUGAAUAAAAUUUGAUUGCGUACGGCCGAGUACAUCAUUGACUAGAAGCUUACUGCCAUCCAGGAUCUACUGUAUAUACUAGGCGGUGUCAGAGGAAGGGCAAAAAAAAAUGGUCUAAGACUCCAGUCACAUUGUAAAGUAUGUCAUUUCAAUAGUGUUGUGAUAUCAGAUUAUGUCAUGGAGUAACAAACUUUAAGAUGGAUUUGAUACAAAACUUCUCUGCAAAAGCCAACUUUUACCUGGGGGCAUGCUUUGUAGACCCUUCAAAGGCAUUCCGAUACCUGGUCCCCAAGAAAAAACCCACAUGGUAUGAUAGCUUAUAGACAGUAGUAGGCAAAUGAAUGGAAAAAGUUACAAUAUUAAGAUGAUGGUAUAACAUUUCUAGAGUCUAUUUGCUGGUAAUUGGAAACAGGUCCCUUUGGAAUUUCGUCCCCCAUUCCUAAACACAUCCAUCCUAUAGUGUAGGUUUUGAAGAUUCAUAAUCUCUGAUUGUAGUCAUCAGAAGAAGAUUGAGGAACGGUUGAUAGGUCCAAGAAGUACAAGCCCCCACACCGUUCUCCAACCUCUGAAAUGUUG
rnacentral:lncRNA from 1 species